GCAACAUUUCUUUUGGAUUGGACACUCUCUCAGCUGUUAUGAGUGCACAAGUCUGACGGGCUCUUGUACCCAGACAAGUCAGUGUCUCACUGGAUUUUCCAACUGCGUCAGCGCAACAGUUACUGUCAACACUACUACAGUGAAGGUUAGAGGUUGUGCUCCAUCUGUCUGUCCAAGUGGAACCAUCAACCUCGGCAUUGGAAAAGGCUCUUCUCAGUGCUGUAGCACUGAUCUCUGUAAUUCCCAAGAUGCUCCAGAUCCCACUAACGCUCCCAAUGGAAAGAAAUGUUACUCUUGUGAUGGGAAUACCUGCUCAAACACAGUGAGCUGUUCAGGGACUGAAGACCGCUGCUUUAAUGCAACAGGUGAGAAUCUGGAAAAGAAAGACGCGUCAUUAUCUU